rnacentral:lncRNA from 10 species
AUACCUUCAAAUUUAACACAAAAUUUAUGAAAAUCUCAGUUUAAGUUGGAAAAAAAAUACAAAUCUGUAAAAAGAAAUCAUUAACUUUUAUCCUGUCCUUAUUUUCUCACUGACAACUUUCACUGAAGGCUCCCAUCUUUUAAGCUAAACAUAGGAGCAGGUCUGAAUCAAAUAUAAGGGCAGAUGUAAAUAUAUUUUGAAAAUUAAAAUGUGUAACACAGACACAAGUAGUUGCAAUUUUUCUUGGGUCCGAAUGACCUAAAUAGCUGAAAAGCAUGCAACAAAGUUUGAGAAACAUGGGGCAUCCCUUUGUCAAAAAAAAAAAAAAAAAAAAAAAAAAAAAAAAGAAGGUUAUCCAGCAGAUUUCAGCUGAAAAGAAAGAUGAAAUGAAUAAGCACUACUGUGAGCCCUUUCUCCAGGCAAAAAGAAGAGACAGGAACCUGACUGUAUAAACAUUUCCAUAAUACAUAAAGUCAAUUAAAGAUUUUCUUUUCACCCUUUUUAAAUCUUAUUUAAGAAUUGUCACUGAAAGUGUGAAAAAAGUCAACCAUUAAUUCACCAUGCUAAAAUCAUAGUAACUUGUAUCUUUGUAUAUUUUUUCUCAUUUUCCACAUAUAGGCAU